rnacentral:tRNA from 1 species
UAGCUCAGUGGUCGAGCGUUGGCUUUGGAAGUUACAGGUCGGUGGUUCGAUUCCACC